rnacentral:rRNA from 1 species
UACGUAGGGUGCGAGCGUUAAUCGGAAUUACUGGGCGUAAAGCGUGCGCAGGUGGUCAUGUAAGACAGAUGUGAAAGCCCCGGGCUCAACCUGGGAAUUGCAUUUGAGACUGCGUAGCUAGGGUGCGGAAGAGGGAAGCGGAAUUUCCGGUGUAGCGGUGAAAUGCGUAGAUAUCGGAAGGAACACCAGUGGCGAAAGCGGCUUCCUGGUCCAGCACCGACGUUCAGGCACGAAAGCGUGGGGAGCAAACAGG